GAGAGAGUACUACCGAGGAAAGAAAAGCAUCUGCGUCGCCUUCCUCCCAAAACCCAAAUCGAACUCGCGGCGAUCUCUCGCCUUCCCAAACCAACAGACUAUGUACGGUCUUCUCGCUCUCGCGCCCCUCCCACAGUUUGUAGCGUGGCUGGCAGCAGCAGGGUGCCUCGCCGGCAGCUCUAAUCUUGGCACUGAGCUGUGCCUCCAACGUGUUUGAGUGAAUGCGCAGGUGGACGCGCUUGCUUUCUUCCACGCACUAGAUCUUGUGAAUUUUCCGUCUCCACCUGAUUUUGAGAUUCACCGCUGACCAUGGCUGACGCCUCCGCCGGCGGCGGUUCCCUGGAUGAAUACCCAACCAUCGACCCAACCUCUUUCGACGUGGUCCUCUGCGGCACCGGCCUCCCGGAGUCCAUCCUCGCCGCUGCCUGCGCGGCCGCCGGGAAGACCGUCCUCCACGUCGACCCCGACCCCUUCUACGGCUCCUUCUACUCCUCCAUCCCGCUCCCUUCCGUCCCUUCCUUCCUCUCCGCCGACUCCUCCACCCCCUGCCCGUCCUCCCCAACCACAACCUCCUCCGCCACCGCUGAAUACACCGCCGUCGAUCUCGAGCGCCGCAGUCUGUACUCGGAGGUUGAGACCUCGGGGACGGUUCCCGAACCGUCCAGGCGCUUCACGGUCGACCUGGUGGGUCCCAGGGUGCUGUACUGCGCCGACGAGGCCGUGGACCUUCUUCUGAGGUCAGGAGGAAGCCACCAUGUGGAGUUCAAGAGCGUGGAAGGGGGCAGCCUCAUCUACUGGGAUGGUGCGCUCUGCCCGGUGCCAGACUCUAGGCAGACCAUCUUCAUGGACAGCACACAUCGGUCUAAGGAGAAGCUUAAUCUUAGGGAUAAUCUUAAGGAGAAGACCCUCUUGUUCAGAUUCUUCAAGCUUGUCCAGUCACACAUUGCCGCAUCGUCUUCUGGCGGUAAGGAUGGGGAGGGCCAAGCCUCUGGUAAGAUAUCUGAGGAGGACUUGGACCUCCCCUUUAUCGAAUUCCUCAAGAAACAGCAGCUUCAACCCAAGAUUAGAGCGGUUGUGCUAUAUGCAAUUGCCAUGGCAGAUUAUGAUCAAGAUGCCGCAGACACAUGCGAGAAAUUGCUAACAACAAGAGAUGGAAUCAAGACCCUAGCUCUUUAUUCCUCGUCCAUUGGGAGGUUUGCUAAUGCCCAAGGUGCUUUCAUUUAUCCUAUGUACGGGCAUGGUGAGCUACCGCAAGCUUUCUGUCGCUUUGCUGCUGUUAAGGGUGCCCUAUAUGUGUUGCGGAUGCCAGUCACAGCCCUCCUCGUGGACGAGGAAAAGAAGCGUUAUAUAGGCACCAGAUUGGCUUCUGGUCAGGAUAUUUUGUGCCAGCAGUUGAUACUUGGUCCCUCGUACAAAAUUCCUUCAUUGGACAUGCCAUCUGAUGCUUCAGACUCAAACUUGACGAGAAAAGUUGCCAGGGGAGUAUGCAUAAUCAGCAGCUCCAUAAAAGAGGCUUCAUCAAAUGUUCUGGUUGUUUUCCCCCCAAAAUCAUUACAAGAGCAGCAAGCUACAGCUGUUCGGGCGCUUCAGCUGAGCAGCAAUGUAGCAGUAUGCCCUCCUGGAAUGUUCAUGGUAUAUCUGUCUACUCCCUGUACUGAUGCCUUUACGGGAAAGCAGUACAUAAACAAGGCAAUGGAGGUUCUUUUCAGUACUCAGGCUUCAGAUGAUUCAGAAGGCCAUUUGGAGACAACCAGCAAAAACAUCGAGGAUAGAAAGCCAGUGCUAAUCUGGAGUUGUGUGUAUGUUCAAGAGAUCACACAGGGAACAUCUGGUGCUGUAUUGUCAUGCCCCAUGCCGGAUGAAAACCUGGACUACAGAGAUAUACUGGAAUCGACAAAACAGGUAUUGCGUACGUUAUGUGUUGAUAAAUUUUAUUCUCAUUUCUGUACUUGCAGGAGAUACAGGCCAGGAUUCUGGCUCAUUAUGGAAGCUUCAGAACUGAACUGUACAUGUCAAUAGCGAGUGCUUUAUUACGGUGUUUGCAUUGAAGAAAGAGUAACUAGUGCUGGAGUGAAUUCGUCUAGUUCUUGUUAAUUACGUUGUGUCUGAUUUAUUUACAGAUAUUUAUCCUGACGAAGAAUUCCUGCCUAGAAACGCAACUCCUAAAUAUGCCGACGAUGACUCUGAUCUUGCAGAGUAGAAACAUGUUUGCAGAGGGUUAGUGUUUUUCUGGACAAAUAUUCCACAGAAGAUACAUGAAGGCAUUUUAGAUACAUCGCACCAACAUGGAUGAUCUGCUCAGUGAGCGAGACCACAGACAACGUUGAUGGUUGUAUGGCUUGUUGCAGUGCCUGUAGUUAUUACUGCACAAGCUACAUGUGGCGCCUUUCGUUUGUUGCACUGGUUCUUGCUACAUGUGGCGCCUUUCAUUUGUUGCACUGGUUCUUUGUACGAGUGAAACAGAGUAAUGAAAUUGAGUUUAAACUA